CCGGAGAUACGGUUUCACUUUACGGAUUUCCGAACGAUCCUGGCACGUUAACGCAGUGGCUUCAUUUCUGUGAUCAGGUGGAAAUGCGUGAAGCAGGACAAAGCAAGGAUGUGUUCAAGUUCCGGCAUGUAUGCUCAAGGGUUUGAGAGGGCAGCAUUUAAGAAUCCAUUGAUCGUAUCUUAAGGAUUAAAAAAGCAUGCGGUUCCCACUAUCAAAACGCUGAACCCCACCGCAGUGGAGGACAACGUAUUGGAUUACGAGUCACAGUACGUCGAACUUUUAAGCAGCGACAUGACCGUUGAUACUGGUGUUGUUGAAGAAGAAAUAGAUUAUGAAAAUGGAGACGAUGGAUUGCAGCAAGGAUCCACUGUUUGCUUCUGUGCUACUGUGCUAUGCUACUGUUAGUGCAGGGUGUUGAAAAUCGGGGAACAUCCGACAACAAGGAAAAUCCGCAACAUCCGACAACGACAUCUGGAAACAAGUUCUUCCGAUACUCGUCUUAAGACACGAUUCGGUUCUUCCAGCACCGAAAGCAGGAAAUUAGAAAAACCUCCUGCUAACUGAGAAGAAAUAGCAGAUACUAAAAGUCCGUCGUUGUAUUGAGACGGAUCGGUCUCCACAUUUUACAUCGGGUGGAAGUUGCUCUUUUGAGCACUGUUGAAGAGGAGGUCAUGGAAGUCAAUCAUGAUAUAUGACGGUUCACCCGGAACCAAGAAAACAGUUAUUGAUCAACCCACUGCGUUAAUUUCAUAAUAUGACUUGUACUGGCACCACAACCGUCAGCAGACGAACUACAGUUGUCGGAGAAUUUCCCAUCACAACAGCGUCCAUAGUUAUCGAGCGAGUGCUCGAUAUUUGCUUCAUAUUUACCAGGGAACACCGGAAUUACCAUGUUGCUUCAACACAAAACACCAUCAUAUUUACAUUAUCCGUUAGUCGAUCAGCAGUCGCACGAGCUGGUCCUCACUGGCUCUGAUGUCACCAAUCCUCCGUCACAUCUUCCUGCACCCGAUAUCAAACGUAGGUUCCAGUAACACUUGCUGCUGAAAUCUAAUUAUCCGUGCAACCCUUGUCUAUGAUGAUAAGGAGCAGCUGAGAGGAGUGCAAAAAAAAAACGUUCGUGCUAUUCUCGUUUCUGACUAAAGAGCUUGAAUGAUUGUCUUUCAGCAUUCAGAAAAACCGGUCGGCCAGUUAAAUCACCAAAACGGUAAAAUUUUAAACUUCAUAAUUCCGCAGCUGGAGGUUGCCAGGAUAGUGCAGGGGUGCAGGGCGCAUGCUAGUACCGUACAUAGUGUACUCUCGUGUGUAUUGAAUAUUUUCGGAGAAUGCACGAAGAAGCACAGCAGUCCUCCCAACCCCUCUGCUGGGCUUCCGGAAUUUCUAUAAUUGCGGUACCAUCGCACUCGACAUAUUCACAGAAUUCCAAGGGGUGGUCUGAAUUCAGAUGCCAACCGCUGCACAGUUCUUCGUUACAAUCCACAACGGAUUCUAGAUUAGCGGGAAUGUACAGCAGAAGCCAUUUUC